rnacentral:misc_RNA from 1 species
AAGGGACAAUUUAUUAAAAUGUGAUAUACAUAAAUCCUUAGAAACAGAAAAAACCUAAGAAAAUGAAGAACGUUUCAACUGACUCGGUAGCAGAGGAAAACAAACAUGUUUGUAUGCAUGGAAAAGCAUAUACAAGUCAUGGGAAUUCUGUUUGUUUAUUUGUGCAGUCAGUUUUAUCUCAAAAACAUAAAUAAAUAAAUAAAUAAACCUCUCAUCCAGUGAUAAGGAUUGCAGCAUGGUACUUCAUGGUGAUAGGGAUACCAUAUUAACUGAAUUCUUUUGCACAAUAAACACUGAACAUGGCAUGCAAUGAAUCAAUGUUAACUCUUCUCAACCCAUAAAACCAUAGCACUUUUAAAACCAAAUUAUUCCAGAAAUCACGUAAGGAAUGAAAUGGCACAAGAAUACCUCAAUCCAAAUAUCAGGGUAUGUACAAAAUGAAUUUGGUCAUACAGUUACAGUCAUCAAUUACUUCUUUCAAAAUAUAAAAUAUAUCAUGAUUGUGUUCAGUUCAUUUACUCUGAGACUAGGCAUAAAGCCAAGAUGCUACUUGGCACAGACGCAUCUAAAUGUGCUCUUAGGUUGUAUACUAUGGUCUCUGGAAUAAUUAACAUUAAAGGUACUUCCAAAUGCACCCAAAAAUAAUCAAUGACGAGCGCCUUGCUUGAUAUAUUUACAACUACGUCAAAUUAGGAUCAUUA